AAGAAAAAGAGAAGAAAGAGAAAUAGAGAAAGAGGAGAAAAGAAAGGAAAAGAAAAAGAAAGAUCGGGAGAAACCGUGAGGUAGAGAGAGAGAGAAGGAGAUCGGCACCCCCAUGAGGGGAAGUGGUCGGCAACCAUGGAAAAGGAAGGAGAGAGAGAAAAUCAACAUGGAAGGAAGAAGAAGAAGAAGAAGAGAAGCUAAGGUAUAAAUUUAUUUUUUUUCCUAAGUUUUUCUCUAUUUUAGUUUAUGGAUUUUAUGAAAGGGGUUUUUGAUUUGGAUGUUCAAACCCCUAUAAUCUAUGUGAUUUAUAUGGAUUCAAGUAUGGAUUUACCCAAUUUGGGUGUUGAUUUGUUGGAAACUAAAAGGAAAAGAAAAUAAAUUUUUCUAGUUUUGAAAAUCGAAAUUUCUAUGUACUUUGAAUGUUUACCGUUUUUGAUCUAUGCAUUAUUUUUAUGAUCCGUCAAAAAGUAGUGCUAGAUAUAUGUGUUGGCUAGUAAACCCAAGUGGUAGAACUCAAAAAUCACGUUUCUAAAAGUCGUGGUGUUGAUUUAUGUGAAAACAGUCCCGGUUUUAUGGACAGUUUCGGAUCAGUCAAUGGCAGGGGAAAUUUCGUCCAGUUUUUGUGCUUUAAAACUUCUGGGCUUUUGGUAUGUUAUAUUACACUGAUUAAGCUUUCCAUAGACUCCAGAACGGACUAAUUCCGGCUCCGGAUGAGGUAGUUAUGACGUUCGGAAGGAGCGUAAUCAAACUGUCCAACCAAUCCCGAACAGCCUAUUGUCUAAAUUUUUGGACUGAUGUAUUCGGAUUUUGGAAAAUCAUCGUGAGAUAAAAGUUGUAGCCCUGGAAGUUAUCUUCGCGUGGGCUCAAGAAUCGCUCAAACAUGUUUUAAAACGCGAGAGUUAUGACUGUUUUAGUGAGGCUGGGUAAGAUCCAAAAAUAUCGAAAAUCAAAUUGUCCAAAAAUAGGAAAAAUGCGAUUUAUGACGUGAGACCCUUGAGCAUGGCUUAUGCAAGUUUGUAAUGAAGUUUUGGGUCGGGUUUAAAGUGUUAUGAUGUUUAUGACAUUUUAGAAUGUUUAAACAAGUUUAUUAAUUACGGAAAGGAAAAAUAAUUGAAAUAAUUGUUUAUUUAUGUGAUUAAUGACUUAAGUUAUUUUUAUAUGACUAAUAGUAUUGUAUUGAGAUAUUAUUAGUAGUAUUUGACUGAAAUGCUAUUAAAAGGUUAAUAACCUUAGCGUAAAAUAUUAUUAUAUAAUUAAUAAUAUUCGACGAGAGAUUAAAAUGAGAUAUUUUUGUUAUUUUUCAAUGUAAUUGUUGAAAUUGAUAUUCAAUGAAGUAUAUUAUGUGUUUGGGCAAAUGAUAGAAAAAUAAUAAGUGAUUUAGUAUUUUCAUGAAAGAGUUAUGGAAUCCGGCUUGUCGGAUUGGAAAUUUGAUGAAUUCAGCUUGCUGGAUUGAAAAGAAGCUUACUGAAUUGAAGGAUUUAGAAUCCAGCUUGCUGGAUUGAAGGAAUUAAGGAUCCAGGCUUGCUGGAUUGGUUAUAUGUGAAAUAUAGGUUACUGGAUUUGGAAUCCAGUCUGCUGGAUUAGAAAUAUGGUUGCUAGAUUUAGAAUCCAGGGUGCUGGAUUGGUAUUUGACCUUUUACAUGUUAAAGAAUAACUUAUGAAAUGAAAGAACGAGUGAUAAAUCAUAAUGUAUAUGAUACAGUGAUUGAAUAAUUAUCAAAGGAUGAUAAUAAUACUAAUGGGUUAAGAUGUUAUCUAAUAUUUGAUUAAGUGUUAGAUAAUUUAUGGCUUAAGUAAUUGUAUUAUGAUACAAGUAUGUUAUACUGAUUAAAAGAUCAAUCUUAUACUGAUAGGUCUUUCCCGAGAGAUUAAAUUAAAUUGUGUAGCGGUAAUCGACUAUGCAGGCAAGUUUCCUUAACUCAAACUAGAGUUGUAUGUUCAAAGCAUGUCAGUGAAUAGUUAUUGAUGAUUAUUCACGUCUAUACUAAUUAUUGAUUCGCACUUAGUGCAUGUUGCAUAUGUUCAUCAGGUAUGAAUGGCUGAUCACCUUCAUUACCAUAAGGUUCAGUUAAAUUGUUCAUGGUCUUUGUUGACCUUCCAAUAUUUAUUGAUUCAGUCAUGAAGUUAUUGAAACUUGAUUCAUGUUAUUUCAUAAUUAUUAUAUUGUUGAAAACUUGAAAGCUUAUUCAUUCUUUUCAAUCAUGAUAUAUCUUCAAUUGUAUGUAAAACUUGCUGGGCAAAUUUGUUGCUCACCCUUGCUAUAUCAUGAUAAAAUUUUCAGAUUAAGAUGAAAGCUUGAAUAAGGAUAGAGGCAAAGUCAGAGUGCAAGGUU
rnacentral:lncRNA from 1 species